ensembl:lncRNA
CCACAAUUCCCAACCAACGCGGCUCCGCUACACAUCCUCUAUUCAUUUUAAUGGAGAAAUAGCUUGAGCUGCUCUGAGAAUUUUAAAAGCACGAAAGCCAACGGUCCAAUAUACUCUAAACACUGCUGUGCAUACACAUACACGUUUUUGGACUAUGAUAGACGCUUAAGAGAGACAGUAGUGGUGCCGCUUCACUAGAAUCUGACUAACUGUAUUCUGUGCUGGUUGGUUUUGCCUGUCAGGUAUUUGAGGAGGUGCCUCUGGAUGCAGACGGGAGUAUAAACUCAGGCACUGGAUGUGGCUCUCCUGCAGUGUCUUUCUUCCAGCAGUUCUUCCACUGCUACUCUCCUGUAGGCUUCGGACGAAGGAAAGACCCCAGAGGAGACUACAUCAGGUCUCAUGGCCUCUGUGCCCACCAUCCAGGAAGAGGCAGUGCCGCCCCCAACAGACGACUUUUAGAUAAGCAGCAGCACCUGUGUCACCCACACACACGUGGUCUGCCCAGUCCAACACUCUGAAGAGAGGCAGGCCCUCCGAACCAUAGAGCACCCAGAAGUGCACCCACCCGAAACACCAGCACACCAUCACUGCCCAAGGAGACAAGAGGCAACAACAGGAACAGCACAGGAGCAGUGGGAGGAACAGUCAGAGCAGCAGGCUGUUGAACAGCCAAUGGAUCUGCAGUGGCACACGAUAACAAGACACUGGGUUGUUCUUUAUUCUGAAAUGUGAGACAUUUUACUGGAACCUCUUCAGAAGUUAUCACAUUUCUGUCAAAUAAAAUCUUUCAAUACUCUUUCUGUAGGCCAGGGAUCAUCAACGAGAUUCAGCCAUGUGCCAAUUUUUGUCUUGAGUGGAUGGUUGGGGGGCCGGAACAUAAUUACAAAUCAUUUGUAGGCUGCAAAUUGACCGCAAAAAGCCCAAACAAAUACAGUGGCUUGCAAAAGUAUUCACCCCCCUUGGCAUUUUUCCUAUUUUGCUGCCUUACAACCUGGAAUUAAAAUAGAUUUUUGGGGGGGGUUGUAUCAUUUGAUUUACACAACAUACCUACGACUUUGAAGAUGCAAAAUAUUUGUCAUUGUGAAACAAACAAGAAAUAAGGCAAAAAAAAUGUGCUUGAGCGUGCAUAACUAUUCACCCCCCCCCCCCCCCCCCCCCCCCUAAGUCAAUACUUAGUAGAGCCACCUUUUGCAGCAAUUAUCGCUGAAAGUCUCUUGUGGCAUGUCUCUAUAAGCUUGGCACAUCUAGCCACUGGGAUUUGUGUCCAUUCUUCAAGGCAAAACUGCUCCAGCUCCUUCGAGUUGGAUGGGAUCCGCUAGUGUACAGCAAUCUUUAAGUCAUACCACAGAUUCUCAAUUGGAUUGAGGUCUGGGCUUUGACUAGGCCAUUCCAAGACAUUUAAAUGUUUCCCCUUAAACCACUUGAGUGUUGCUUUAGCAGUAUGCUUAGGGUCAUUGUCCUGCUGGAAGGUGGACCCUCCAUCCCAGUCUCAAAUCUCUGGAAGACUGAAACAGGUUUCCUUAACGAAUUUCCCUGUAUUUAGCGCCAUCCAUCAUUCCUUCAAUUCUGACCAGUUUCCCAGUCCCUGCCGAUGAAAAACAUGGUGUUCUCGGGUGAUGAGAGGUGUUGAGUUUGCACCAGACAUAGCGUUUUCCUUGAUGACCAAAAAGCUACAUUUUAGUCUCAUCUGACCAGAGUACCUUCAUCAAUAUGUUUGGGGAGUCUCCCACAGGCCUUUUGAUGAACACCAAAUGUGUUUGCUUAUUCUUUUUCUUUAAACAAUGGCUUUUUUCUGGCCACUCUUCCAUAAAGCCCAGCUCUGUGGAGUGUAAGGCUUAAAGUGGUCCUAUGGACAGAUACUACAAUCUCCGCUGUGGAGCUUUGCAGCUCCUCCAGGGUUAUCUUUGGUCUCUUUGUUGCCUCUCUGAUUAAUCCCCUCCUUGCCUGGUCUGUGAGUUUUGGUGGGCGACCCUCUCUUGGCAUGUUUGUUGUGGUGCCAUAUUCCACGUUUUUUUUUGGCUAUAGUUUUUUGCACCACCAGACACUUUGAUUCGUGAGUGAAAAACUGCCUUAGGACUACAGUAAAACCUCAAAGAUACAAACCUUAGAUUUACCAACUGACCGGUCAAGCGAGCAGGCAAUAUUAACAUGGAUGUUUUUUUUGUUAUCCCCCCCCCCCCCCACCCCCCCAUAAAAAAAACACAUUAAAACAAUAACACAUUCAUGUAAAAUACGCAAUUCAUAUGUUCUAUAAAUUUCAGUGUUUCUAACAACCUCCAUUCGUGAUCUGAGCUUCUACUGUCAUUCAUCUGUUUGUCCUCUGUAUGAUAUUUUGACUUCGAUCACAACCAUGUCGUUGGUUUAGAAACAAAUAUUUUGCCGAAAGAUCCCGUAAUGAUAAUAGUGUCUAUACUAAUACAAUAAGAACUAGUUCCGCAAAGUACCAUGUGUAUAAAAGAUUUGUAUUAAUUCCCGCUAUAUUCUGUUUAUAUUUGCACAUCUAUCAGCCCUGUGUGUAUAUUAUACUGUAUAUAUUACCAUAAUACACGUUUUCUUUGUUUGCACUGUUCUGUCUGUGGAUCUGCCCAGAAAGGGAUGAGUUUUGCCUAAUGUAUUAAGUACAUCAGGACAGCCAUUUUGCAUUCUUGCGUUGCAUACUUAAAUUGGCUAUAAAUAAGUCUUUAGGAUAUACUGACAGAGGUCAACUUCAUUUAUAUUUCCCGUUAACAUCUAAAGCUUGUCAUUAUUUGUCAGUCACCAAAUAUUGUACAUUCCAUGCCAAAAAAGAGUACAUUCACUAUAAUAAAUAAAAAAAUCCCAUGAUGAGCUUUGUGAAACGUGUAUGUAGUUGUAUUUAUUUGUUUUGUAUAGUACAAAAUAGUUUUAUUUUCAUUAAAGCGCUGAUA